AAACUGGGAUUAGAUACCCCACUAUUAAGAACCCAAAAAGUUAUUAAAAAGCACUAAAAUCAUUAUGAUUAAAANUUAAAGAAUAUGGNGGCAANUAUAAUUUUUAGGGGAAUUUACACAAUAAUUGACAACCCUCAAGAAUGUCCUACAUAUUUUUAUCAUUUGUAUACCGCCGUCUUCAGGUACCAUUUUAGAUUGUACUAUAAUUUUAUUUAAAUAAAAGACAGGCCAUGGUGCAGUUUAUAAGUAUGCUGUUGCGAGUUACAAUAAAUUUUGUUUUCGGAGAAACUUUUUAAAAAAAGAUCGUAAGCUGGACUUAAUAGUAAAAAAUAUUUUUUAAUUACUUUUUGAACCUUUUUUUAGUUGUGCACACACCGCCCGUCACCCUC
rnacentral:rRNA from 1 species